GUAGCAGAGGUGAUGCAUCAAGUUUACAGCAAGGAUUCAAUCCUCUGAAGACAUCAGAAAUCAACUCUAUACAAGUGUGGGAGUGAGAUCGCUCAACAAUAUUAAGCUUCCAGAGCAGUUUCUCUGGAAGUAAUAAUGACACAUUUUGUCACUGCUCAGUUCAUCUACAGCAGAGUGAUAGCUGCAGAUUUAAAACCACCCUUGAAACCCCCACCCAGUAACAAGUGUUCUUAAGUAUCUCCUCCAAAACAGAAGCUAUUGCAAGAGUGAUGAAUCCUACCCUGACUCUUAUCUCACAGAUGAGCUUUCAAAGAAAACCACGACCUAAGACCUGGCUGGCAGAAAAGGCCAGCAUAAGCUUCUGAAAUGUUCACCUCCCUCCUCUCUUCUAUGACCUACAUGCAAGCAUCCUCUCCCCUUCCGGCUGACUUAGCAGAACUCCUGCAGAGGCUUUUUCCUCACCACUGUACAUACAUGUCCUGGAAUCAGGAAAGACAGCAGUUUAGCCAUGAAGAAAACUUCUAUCAGAAAGGAUAAUGAAGCCCUAAAACAGAUUACUGGGAGAAAUACAGAAUCUCUAUCAUGAGAGCUUUUAAUAAGAAGCAAGACAAACACUCAUCAGGCUUUUCAGCUUCUCUUACAUGUUUCUCAGAUGUCAAAUCUUCUGUGUUCCAAAGAAGUUUGAAAUAGGACAGAAAUACUGUAAGACACAGAGGUGGAAGGGCAAGUUAAACAGCAGUCAACAUCAGCUCUACAAUGAUGCUUAUGCACUAUGCUUGACUGAAUGGGUCAGUCUGGGAAUAAGAAUCAUGGAAUUUGAUCCACCUGCUCAAAGUAAGGUAUUCAUAGUUGGUCUACUGUAACUUGAAAGAAGCUCUCUAGAAUGACUCUUUUUGGCAAAAUCGAAUACAAUCUUCACUGUCUAUCCCAGCAUGAGAAAAUGUUUGUCAUCUACUGUUUGCAUGACAACCAGAUUAACUGAAUAUUUAACAAUUUACAGGCUACAAACAGUGAAUUAAAUGCUUUUGUUCUCCAAAUCCACUCUGAUCCUCUCAAAGUUCUAUGGCAUUUCAAAAGAUGUUAUGUAAAACUGACCCAGAAUACAAGACUA